rnacentral:rRNA from 1 species
GCAAAACGCGAAGAACCUUACCCGGGCUUGAAAUGCAGACGACGAACCGAGAAACCGGUUUUCCAGCAAUGGCGUCUGUGUAGGUGCUGCAUGGUUGUCGUCAGCUCGUGCCGUGAGGUGUCGGCUUAAGUGCCAUAACGAGCGCAACCCCUAUCAUUAGUUACUAACAGGUAACGCUGAGGACUCUAAUGAGACUGCCACCGUAAGGUGUGAGGAAGGUGGGGAUGACGUCAAAUCAGCACGGCCCUUACGUCCGGGGCGACACACGUGUUACAAUGGGGGGUACAGAGGGUUGCUACUUGGUGACAAGAUGCUAAUCUCUUAAAGCCUCUCUCAGUUCGGAUCGGAGUCUGCAACUCGACUCCGUGAAGCUGGAUUCGCUAGUAAUCGCGCAUCAGCCAUGGCGCGGUGAAUACGUUCCCGGGUCUUGUACACACCG